GAACGCCGUCUUCACAACACGGAGAGAAAUUGCAGGUGCUAUGAACCAGAGCAAGGCGGUGACCUCCUAUUUGCUCGAAACAAUAUCUGCAAGUCCAGAUUUACACGAUGUUGAUAAAGACGAAAUUGUGUCCGCCUGUAAGAUAUUACUAUUAUGAGACGGUACGCAGGAGCCAUAUACCCAGCCAGAAAACUCAUUGCGGGCGGAAGCUGCGAAAAGUUCAGCUCGGAGUCGAGUAAGAACAAAGAGGCUGCUGGAAUCGAGACAGAGUGUGCUAGCGGAUGACGAGGUGGAACUCUGGAAGUCCGCCACCAUAGACCUCAUGUCUAACGAAGAAGAUGGCGUUGUUGGCGGGGUCUCUGGAUGGAUUGUACGGCCGCCGUCAUUUCGUAGGCCGGAUCUCUCUGAACUCUGUAUGAAGCCGCAGUCCCGGUUAGAGGCAAUGCUGAAGUACAAAGCCACGCACAUGGGCGUCUGCACAACGGACCUGCCUCGGAAAAAACGCCGCCAGUUACCUACAACCCCGAGGAGGCAAACGGACAGUUCACGGAGUUGUAGUUUUUGGAUAAUCUUC